ACAGGCAGGAUAUGUAAUGAUGGAUGCUGUGCCCGUCUUUCUUUUCUUCAUCUUUCAUAGAAAGCUCCUGAUGUGCAGCUUUUCCAAUAUAUUUAUUUCACAAAUACAAGACCAACAAACUCUCAGAAGAUUAGGCAACGGUGAGGCAGGAACCCAGACUCCACUGCCUUUGACACAUAUCUGUAUUGUGCAGCCCCUCCUGCGCACCCUCUCCUGCGCACUUGCCACCACCUUUUCCUACCUGGAGGUGUCAGGCAACCUUUCUUCAGGCAUUUCAACUUUUGAGCCUCACAUGUUGUCCCAGAAGAGCUGUUGGUUGAUUGUUGUCAAGUGCUCAGUAAUUUGAGGAUGCAAUUUGAAGACUUCAAACAACAGGCUGUCUGCUUUGAAUGCAUCUUCUCUAAGUUACAAUAAUUUACUCCUUGUGAGUUGGAAACCAAAUGAAGCCACCUCAUCAGUACUGCCCUCAAUGCUUAGAGGAGAAUAUGAUUGGAUUGAUUUAGGAACAAGAGAAGCAUCCUUGAAUUAUCCAAUAGUCCCCUGUGCUGUCUCUAAUUUGUUAGUUUAACCCCACCAUUCUAGCUACUUGACUGUGUGCUGCAGAUACUCCUGCCGCCAGGCCAAGUGGCACUCCUGCUCUGAGGGUUUGGUGUGACAGACCAUGUCAGUGCCUUUGAGAAUGAUUUCUGCAGCAAGGAUGUCUCCAUUUUGAUUUUAAUUUCUUUGUAAGUUCCCUGUGCCAAUAGGAAGAAGUGUGUGACACAUUGAAUGUGAUUAGUUCACCUCUGAAAAGAAGAAAAUGUCAGUUCAAACCAAUCCAAGGCUCAACUGGCAGCUCAGUAUGUUUGGUCAUUUAAUUAUUAUGAUUUUCUUUGUAUUUGUAAAGCAUAAAUUUGCACUUAAAUUCAUUAAUAAGCUAUUUAAAAAUUGUUUAGAAACAAUUCUACUACAAUUAUCUAGCAUUCGUGGAAAGAUAUGCUUUAGUUGGUAGUUUAAAAGACCAAACCAAAAUAUAUGUACCAAUAGCUCAGAAUGUAAAA
rnacentral:lncRNA from 1 species